rnacentral:lncRNA from 1 species
UCCCGUCCUGCUUAAUUCCCGUCCUGCUUCCGACUUAUAAUGUCUUCAGAAUAAUAUUUUACUGAUACGAAGAUAUUCCGAGAAAACUUCGCGAUGAAGAAACGUCAAUCUUCAAAAACGUCGAGCUUCUAAACCGUCGUGCUUCAAAAAUGUAAUUCUUCCAAAACUGCCGUAUGAUCAAUCUAAGACAUUUCUAACAAUGGUAGAGCAGCUUAUCUCAACUCAUGCUUCACUCACGAUCCAUUCUUCGAACUUCUCGUACUUCAAAUUUCCCGAUCGAUCUGUAUUGCCCGCGACUCAACCACAAAGAUACUCGACCAUUCUCUCUCUCUUUUCUUUUCUUCUUUUUUUUUAACGGGUUUCUACAUUCUCCCCCCCCCUUAAUAGAAUUCGUCCUCGAAUUCUUAGUUGCGCAAUUGCUCGUCAUCACAACAUUCUCCACUCGUCUCCAUAACCUCUUUACUCUGUCCACAACUGUUCCUUGAGUGUCCUCUUCAAGGUCUCCACAAUCAUCUUCAUAUCUCAUCGCUGGAAUGAUCACUGAGUCAUCCUCUUUCUUUUACUCUUCCAUAACACCCUCAUUGCCCAUGAUACUAUCUUGUCCAGAUUCCUCAAAUCCUUUCUUGGUCUUCGUCUUCCCAAAUACUGAUGAAGUCCUUCCCCAACGAAGUCUUGUUUCCUCCCAUCUGUCCAGUCCAUACCACUGUCCAGUUCUCUGAAUCUGCCUCCACUCUUUCGCUUCGGGUUUGGGUUUGGCCUCGAACUCCCUCCACUUUAAGGUUUUC